UACGUAGGGGGCAAGCGUUGUCCGGAAUCAUUGGGCGUAAAGAGCGUGUAGGCGGCCCGAUAAGUCCGCCGUGAAGUCCAGGGCUCAACCCUGGAAUGCCGGUGGAAACUGUCGGGCUGGAGUCCGGAAGAGGCGAGUGGAAUUCCUGGUGUAGCGGUGAAAUGCGCAGAUAUCAGGAGGAACACCAAUGGCGAAGGCAGCUCGCUGGGACGGUACUGACGCUGAGACGCGAAAGCGUGGGGAGCAAACAGG
rnacentral:rRNA from 1 species